rnacentral:rRNA from 1 species
GACGAACGCUGGCGGCGUGCUUAACACAUGCAAGUCGAACGAUGAAGUUCCUUCGGGAAUGGAUUAGUGGCGAACGGGUGAGGAACACGUGAGAAACCUGCCCAUCAUUCUGGGAUAACACCGGGAAACCGGUGCUAAUACCGGAUACUCCAUCGCGGCGGCAUCGCUGCGCUGGGAAAGAAUUUCGAUGAUGGAUGGUCUCGCGGCCUAUCAGCUUGUUGGUGAGGUAAUGGCUCACCAAGGCGACGACGGGUAGCCGGCCUGAGAGGGCGACCGGCCACACUGGGACUGAGACACGGCCCAGACUCCUACGGGAGGCAGCAGUGGGGAAUAUUGGGCAAUGGACGCAAGUCUGACCCAGCGACGCCGCGUGAGGGAUGAAGGCCUUCGGGUUGUAAACCUCUUUCAGUGGGGAAGAAGCGAAAGUGACGGUACCCAAAGAAGAAGCACCGGCUAACUAUGUGCCAGCCGCCGCCGUAA